UGCAGGUGUCUCACCCAAACCAUCUUCAUGACCAUCAUACAGCCUUAUGGGAGUUCUAGGUACAGCUCCAAUAAUCCCACGAAGAGCACGUCAGGUUCUGUGCAGGUGUCUCACCCAAUCCAUCUUCAUGACCAUCAUACAGCCUUAUGGGAGUUCUAGGUACAGCUCCAAUAAUUCUGCUUCAGAUCCUGGAAUUGUAUUGGGACUGGAUGUUACUCUUCCCACUAGAUGUCAGUAGUGUCACAUGUCUGAAAUUAAAACGAGGCUAAACUGGUUAUGCCUGUAUAGGUCUGUGCCAGAGGUGUAGAUUUGGGUAUGCAUGGUAGAGACAUGUCCCCACCAAGACUGUGGGAGGACCAUGUGUGUCCAGGGAGGGAGGUGUCGGCUGGUUUGGUCCCUACCAAUUUUGAAACCAGGCCUACAGUACUUGCUCUGUGGGGCUUGAUGUUCUGUAUAACUUGUGGCAGUGUCAUUUUGGGGGAUGGGACUAUUGUCCAGUUAAGGUUCAGCAUGAUUUCAGCACAUUUCAUAGCUAAUGGAGAUGUUUUCAAUUCAUUGAGCUACUUUAAGGCCCUUUGAGUCGGCCAUGUGUGUGAUGAUGACAUCGCAUCUCCAUGGUGAUCCGUCACCUCACCUAUUCACCGCAGGGGCCAUCAGGUGGCACCGCUAACUUUGAUCUCCUCGUUUCUCACACCUAGUUCAAGUUCAAACCCCUAAGCUGUGACUGUGUAGACCUUAACCUGCAGUCACAUCGCUAAGCAAACUGCAUUGAGGAUAUAGCAGAGCAUAUGAUACAGCAGUGGCAUUGGAGCGCGGCACUGUGCAGUGGUGGCCAGGCAGAGGUGAACGGUGCCAGGCAGAGGUGAACGGUGCCAGUCAGAAGUGAACGGUGCCAGCUGCAUGGGGAAUGUCGCUGGGGGGGCCCGUCCUGCAGGUGGCGGGUUCAGAGGCUGCCUCUACAGCUGGCGGAC